GGCGCAGGCGCAGCCGCCCGCCCGCCUCCCGCCGCCACAGCCCGGAGGGUCCCGCGGCCCCGCCCCGCCGGAGCGAGCGCGGCCUCCGCAGGCACCAUCGGGAGGUCCAGGCGCCCGCCGGCCCCGCGGGCAGCGCUGUGGGCCGGCGGGGCCCGAGAGGGGAGCCGGGCGCCCCUCCCCCAGCCCGCCCCUCCCGAGGUCGUCUCACCUGGCCGGAUCGCGGGGGAAACGGAAGAAGGCCAGGAGGAUGUUGUUACACUGCAGCCCGAUGGAUGAUCCCACGCAGAAUCACUGAAUCAAUUAGAUUGGAAAAGAGUUCUGCAAUCAUUGAGUCCAGCCUAUGACGGAUCAUAACCUUGUCAGCUAGACCAGAGCACAUCCAGGAUUUCCUUAAACAUCUCCAGAGAUGGUGACUCUGUCACCUCCCUUGGCAGACCCUUCCAAUAUCUAAUCACCCUUUCUGUGAAAAAAAUUCCUCCUGAUGUACAACUUAAACCUUUCCCUGGCACAGAUUAAGACCCUGUCUGCUCAUCCUGUCGCUGGUUGCCUGGGGCUAAUCCCCACCUGGCUAAACCUCCUUUCUGGUAGUUGAAGAAGUAAUGGUAAAAGCCACAAGCUUUUCAAGUAAUGAAAUAAUUAGAUAGAGGUUGUACUGGUCAGAAGACAUUAUUAGGUAAAAAUAAAAUAAAGCUUAGAAAAAAAAACAGGAUACAGAAAACUGGAUGGUAGGAAGUAGGUAAGGGCUCCCUCACCAAAUAUGUCCUGUUUAAAAGUAGGUAGAGCACCUGUGAAAUUACAAAUGUUGAUGGCAAGUGAUGAUUGAUUCAGGUGUAAUACUGCUGUAGUUUUAAGAAUUCAGCUGUGAUACAUCCUUAAUGUAUCUUCACAUAAAAAGUCCUACUUUCCUGGAGAUGUGCUGGGCUCUAGGAACAAUAAUCCAAAGACACAAAAUGAUCAAAAGUAUAAGUUUUCAAAAGAGUGCAUAAAGGAAAAAUAACAAAAAACACCCUACUUAUUUAUUCCUUUUGAGCUUCAAAUAUUUUAAGCUUUCUUUGUUUAGUAUGAGCAGGAUUAAAGCUGUCUUUUACAUGAGGAAGUCUUGUCAUCAAGUGCUCCUGACCAAUCAUAAUAACAUCUGUUUAUUUGGCAUUAAUUGUUUCCCUGAAUUCAACUUUGGGUAUGUAGCUGAAGUAGUUUUGAGUAGUCAUUUAAGCUAAGGCUAAAGAUAACUGCUGCACCCCAUUGGUUUGACUUUACUUGGCAGUCACCAACAUUCAUGGACAGUGAACUGUAUAAAUGAGUUAAUGAGAUAAGUAAUCUUUUUAAAAUAAACCCAGGUUAGAUUUAGUCCAGAUAACUGCCAUCUGAUCUGUGCUGCAGGUCGCAUAAAUGUUCAUGCUGAUACAAGGAAACAAAAAAAAAAAAAAAAAAAA